UAGAAGUUAGUUUUUUUUAAAUAUCAGUUUUGGGGACUGAAGAUAGAAAAUUUUCUACCUCUGA
rnacentral:tRNA from 1 species